GCCACCAGACUGGGGUUCGGGGGGGGGGGUGCCCUCCUCCGGACCCACCUUCCGCCCACCCCUGUCUGUGUUAAUUAUUGUCUGUUUCUUUUGUUUAGGCAUGUCUGGGAGCCGUGCCUUUGAAGGGGGGUACUGUCAUGAUCCUGCCGCUCCAGCCCGGGCUGUGCGGGUGCCUGUGCAGUUGGUAGGCGCACACCUGCGCCUCAUGCAGCCUUAUUAUGCUGUGUAUUUAUCAGACCCCCGAUGACGACUGGGGGGCGCCAGUUCGUUGAGCUUCAUGUCCCGUUCGAGUGCUCCGGUAUCCCUGAUCAACAACCCGUGUGUACCGACCUUCGCCUGUUCUCCAACCAACCUUGGAAUGGUUAUAUUGAAGGGAAGGAGUUGGAGAAUUUCUUUUGGGAGCUAGAAUCUGCUCGAAGAGGAGCUGGCGUAGUGAGUCAAGACCCUUCAAACCCAACAUUCAGAGAAAAGAUGAAGGAGUUCAUGCAGAAGUUUGACAAGAACAAAGAUGGAAGAAUUGAGAUGUCAGAGCUGGCCCAGAUUCUCCCCACUGAAGAGAACUUCUUGCUAUGCUUCAGACAGUUUGUCAGUUCCAGUGCUGAAUUCAUGGCAGCAUGGCGACGAUAUGAUACAGAUCGCAGUGGUUACAUUGAAGCAAACGAAUUGAAGGGCUUUCUAUCAGAUCUCUUAAAGAAGGCUAACAGAAACUACAAUGAACAGAAGCUUAACGAGUAUACGCAGACCAUUCUCAGGAUGUUUGAUCUGAAUGGUGAUGGAAAAUUGGGCCUUUCAGAGAUGGCAAGAUUGCUUCCUGUUCAAGAGAAUUUCUUGCUCAAAUUCCAGGGUGUCAAGCUGACCAGUGAGCAGUUCAAUGCAAUCUUCACAUACUAUGACAAGGAUGGAAAUGGGUACAUUGACGAGCAGGAGUUGGAUGCCCUGUUAAGAGACCUUUGCCUGACAAACAAAACGUGACAGUGCCACAACACCUUAACUGUACUGUAGUCACUUGGAGACACUGCUAGAACACCUGACUGAAGAGGCCGACCUGAAGAACCUAACAGGCUACAAGCAGAGCAUCAUGAGCCUGUCUGAUGGAGGAAAGCUCUACCGUGGCGAACUUGAAAUCGUCCUCUGCAGGGAGCCACUUCAAUGAUUUCAGAUCCUUUCUUGCUGUAUAUGCUAAUUAUGUCUGCUCUGCCUGCCUUGCUCUCCCAGUUAAACACUAACUUCCUACUGACUGGCAACAAAACACCAGGUGCAUGUGCCGUACCUUCCAUCUUCUCCAAAAGCUAUUUCUUCUGAGCGAAUGACAAGUACAACAUUGGCACAAAAUAGUUUUUUCACCCGUAAACCCUUGUUUUCUGCAACAUGACAUUUCAAACCCAAGACGAUAUUUUAUGAAACAUCUAGCAACCCCAACACCCCACAUGACAUCCUAUGAUGCCAUAUGAUUUGAAAUUCAAUGUUUAUUUGCUGAUACUGUAAAAUGAAAAUCUCAAUAAAAUCUCUUAACGUUAAUUUUUUUAAAUUAUUUUAAUCUAGACAGGCAAUUGCUUCAUUUAUUGCAUAGAUUAUAGUCAGUGACUUUCAACACCUUCUCUUCUUUGUCCCAUAUUUUUUUUUUUCAGUUACAAGAGAUUCAACCUUCCUUGUUCCAAAGUGUAAUGUCCCCCAUCACACACACAUAGGACAAGACAAGCACACUAAUGACAUAAUGGAGCUGUGGAGCUUUUGAAGGAAUGGAGCUUUUCCAGAAGCCGUUGGCCAAUUUAGAUCAAUUGCUCAACCACAUGGGGUGUGUUUCAGCCUUCUGCAUAAUGCACAAAAUAAUUAAUUAUACAUAAAUUUUUGAAUAAUAGCUGCUUCCUGACAAAAUAAAUGGAUGAAAUCAAAUCUAGUUGUUAAUAACAACAUUAAUUAAAUAAAGCAUCGGUUUUUGAAUUUUUUUUUAAAUCAAGCGAAGUCUAUGUAAGCGCAUACAAUAUUACCAAAGAUAAGCAACAGAAACAGAGGCUCCUUGGCUGAGUUGAUAAUCUUUACAUAAGAAGCUGUUGCGCCCAAUUUCUAGUAAAACCUGUGUAAUUGAGUUGGCAUGCUUUUAAAGUCUAAAUUAUAUAGCAGGCCUGCAGCCUCCCAUCUCACAGUGGAGCUGGGGCAAACCCACAUCAAUUAAUCAAAAAUAUUUAACUCUUUAGCUGACAUACAGAUGGACAGCAAUAAUGUUCAUAACUGAAAAUUGAGGGCAGAUGUUGUGAAUUAUGUAUUUGUCAAUGACAAGUCAUCUUAGUCUUUAUGUCAGCUUUGCUGAAGAAGCAAUGGUAAGAAAAGAAAAAAAAACUGCAAAUAUUACUUACCAUUACUUAGUCACUGAUGAUAGGCGCAGUUAUUUUAUUCCAAUAUUCCUCAUGUAAUUGAAAAUUUAUGCUACAACCCAGAUUCCUGUGUACUGUACUUUAAAUUGUAACACAAAAGCACACAUGCAUAAUUGACUGACUUUAAAAAGAACUGAG